GUUUCGUAAGAUUGCGCAUUUUUAUAUUUUGCAUUGACCAAUGUUGGUGAUUUUUGAAAAGGCGCGAGAGAGCUGUGCUCGCGUGCGUCUUUUUGUGAACGCGGAGUGACUUGAUGAUUUAGACAAAUUCAGUCGAUUAAUUGGGUGGAAAAACAGCUGUGAUGCUAGUUCAACGGCAAACAGACAGCGGCUUUAAAGUGCAGUAUUUUGCUACGAGACCGACGGGGCAGAUACAGCAGAAGAUUUCCAUAGCACAGGUCCGUGUGUCCAAUCACAACGCUGAGAGGAAGAGGACCAGUGACACCCAGAUGAGACACACUGAACACACCUGCAUAUAUUAAAUGUUACAUUGUGACUCCAAUACUGACCUGAAAUGUGUUAAACCAGA